AGGAUUAACGCUGGCGGCGUGCCUAACACAUGCAAGUCGAACGAGGUAGCAAUACCUAGUGGCAGACGGGUGAGUAGCGCGUGGUCAACCUACCGUUGAGUGGGGGAUAACUAGCCGAAAGGUUAGCUAAAUACCGCAUACGUCUCCGAGGGGCAUCCCUUGGCGAUAAAAGGAGCAAUCCGCUCGAUGACGGGACCGCGUCCCAUUAGCUAGUUGGUGGGGUAACGGCCUACCAAGGCGUCGAUGGGUAGCUGGUUUGAGAGAGCGACCAGCCACACUGGGACUGAGAUACGGCCCAGACUCCUACGGGAGGCAGCAGUGAGGAAUUUUCCGCAAUGGGCGAAAGCCUGACGGAGCGACGCCGCGUGUGGGAAGAAGGCCUUCGGGUCGUAAACCACUGUCGAAGGGAAGAUAAUGACGGUACCCUUGGAGGAAGCCCCGGCGUAACUACGUGCCAGCAGCCGC
rnacentral:rRNA from 1 species